rnacentral:rRNA from 1 species
GACGAACCGUCCUAACGUUGUUCGGAAUCACUGGGCGUAAAGCGCACGUAGGCGGAUUUUUAAGUCAGGGGUGAAAUCCCGGGGCUCAACCUCGGAACUGCCUUUGAUACUGGAGAUCUUGAGUCCGGAAGAGGUAAGUGGAACUGCGAGUGUAGAGGUGAAAUUCGUAGAUAUUCGCAAGAACACCAGUGGCGAAGGCGGCUUACUGGUCCGGAACUGACGCUGAGGUGCGAAAGCGUGGGGAGCAAACAGG